CAUGAAACAUUGACUAUGGAGGGCUUGAUGGAUGGAAGGGUUGAUGGUUGGUAUUCCAAGUCAACCAGCAGAUGGCGCAAAGUAACAUUGAUUUGUUGCAGGAAACGAGGAGAGCAGCAAAAGACAGAGUGUACUAAGUUCACGAUCGUCUUAGCAUCAGCAGCCACGCCGAUUGGGUCACGUGAUCCGCUCAGAUCUGCGUCCGUGGACAUCUGCAAAAUGGAGGACCGUGGCGCUAAAGAGCCUGAGCAGCUCAGAAAGCUGUUCAUUGGAGGUCUGAGCUUUGAAACUACGGAGGAGAGUUUACGGGCCCAUUUUGAACAAUGGGGUACCCUUACAGAUUGUGUGGUAAUGAGAGAUCCUAACAGCAAACGAUCAAGAGGGUUUGGCUUUGUAACAUACUCUUCUGUAAGGGAAGUCGAUGAUGCCAUGAAAGCAAGACCUCAUAAAGUAGAUGGCCGAGUUGUCGAGCCCAAGAGGGCUGUGUCCCGAGAGGACUCCAAUAAACCAGGCGCCCAUCUGACAGUGAAGAAGAUCUUUGUUGGUGGCAUCAAGGAAGAUACUGAGGAGUACCACAUUCGCGAGUAUUUUGAGAAAUAUGGAAAGAUCGAAUGCAUUGACAUCAUGGAGGAACGCUCCACGGGGAAGAAGAGAGGAUUCUGCUUUGUCACUUUUGAUGACCAUGAUACUGUAGACAAAAUUGUUGCCCAGAAAUUCCACACAAUCAACUUCCACAACUGUGAAGUCAGGAAAGCUCUGUCAAAACAGGAAAUGAGUGCUAUAUCCAAUAACAGGGGCAGGAGCGGGGGAUCAGGAAAUUUCAUGGGCAGAGGUGGUAAUUUUGGAGGCGGCGGCAACUUUGGCAGAGGUGGCUAUGGUGGAGGACGGGGUGGAUAUGGGGAUGAUUUUGACAAUGGUCCAGGAGGAAAUUAUGGUGGCGGGCCAGGUUAUGGAGGUGGCCGAGGGGGCUACGGAGGUGGAGGUCCUGGGUAUGGCAACCAGGGUGGAGGAUUUGGUGGCAACUGUGACGGAGGCUAUGGAGGUAAUGGUGGAGGAUAUGGAGGUGGUGGAAACUACAAUGACUUUGGAAACUAUGGUGGACAGCAGUCAAACUAUGGGCCCAUGAAGGGAAACAGCUUUGGAGGCAGAAACUCAGGUGGACCCUAUGGCGGUGGCUACGGCUCCGGUGGCGGCAGCGGCGGCGGCUAUGGCUCGCGGCGAUAUUAAUUAUUUAAUGUUUUGGCUUCAGUUCUUAGCAGCAGAGGCGAGGAGGUGAGCAAAGGAAUUGUCAGGAAAGCUGCAGGUUACUUUGAGGCAGUCAUCUGAAAGCAUUAGAGGAACACACAAGUCAGAAAUUACUGCAGCUAAAUCGGAGAAGUUUAUGGAAGAAGGACUGUAUGCAAGACAUGAGUGCAGAUGAUACUCUACCCUAAUUGUGAUAGAUGUUUCCCUACUGAGCAAUUAUUCCUUCUGUGCGUCUGAAGUGUGUGUGUAUUGUGCCUGUGGUAUCAGGGAUACAGAGUAAAGUGUUUUGGGGUUGCUUUGUUUUUUUUUGUUUUUUUAAUCUGAAGUCAGUUCUAAAUAUCUUUAUUUUUUCUUUUUUAUAUGGGUUAGUUUUCUGCUGGCCAAUUAACCUUUGUCUUUUAACCUGGUUUUUGUCACAUAGAAUAAUAAUUUUAGGUCCUUAGAUAAGAUAGCUUUAUACAUUCAUUCUAAAGUUAUUAUGAUUUCACAAUUGCAAGUGUCAAGUGUAUUUUUUGAUUUUGUAUGUAAAGCACAGUGUGUAAAUCCCUCGUAGUACCAGUGUCAAUAAUUACAAGCAGUCUGGAGUAGAAUUAAGGGAAUCCCUCACUCUUCUUGUUCCCAGCAAACCGAAUUAUAGAUUGUUCAAAUAUUUUGAUUAGUUGAAAAAGACCGAAUAAAAUUGUGUAGUAAAGUAACAUGAGGUUCAGUGCAUCUUUGGUUCAGAAAAAGAUGAAAUGAGUUAUUAAUAUAUCUGUUGCUUGCUUAUUGUGACUGAAGUGUAGCAAAUCAGCUGGUCCACAACUGUCCCAUCUGGUGGAGUAUUAUUUAGGAGCUCUGUGACUUGAAAAUAGUGUAUACGUGUUGCAUUCAUGUACUUGUACCAGGGUCAAUAUAAGGGGAGUUUUGGGUAGUCCUAGUGAAGGGCCCAGACACCACUUACGCAAGUAGGAUAACAGCUACAAGCACCAGCAUUUUGGGCUUCAGCGUCACUAGUGUGGAAGAUUUGCAGAUGACUGUCAGACAGGACGUCUUCAGCCCCAGCACAGUGGACCAGUCAGCAGUUUGAGAGAGAAGGGAGAAGGCAGCAUCGAGCACAACGCCCUUGGAGGAAGCUUGCAGUGUCGUGCCUGAUAAUGUGGAAAGAGGAAUUCUCUUCUUGCUGAAAAUCUGUAAAGACCUGAUAACAUGGAAGGUUCUGGAUGGGUAAGACUUUUUUUUUUUUUUAUAUUUUCCAAGCCUGCUCAUAUUUCAAUCUAAUGCUGAUUACACAAGGUGCAAAAUACAGGGUGUUUUAAGAUAAACAAAGCAGGUUGACCUUCAGUAUUUGUCUACUUUGAGCAGAAUCAGCAUGUGCCCUUCACCCCACUGCUCGGUACGCUUUGAAGCCAAAUACUCUUUAUGCUUAUCAUCAGUAUUUUUUUAAAGGUCAAAUAAAGGUGGUGGUGAUUGAACACUUGAAACAGAAAGAUUAUCAUGCGUUCCAAGAAAGGAAGUAAAAGUCACUAUAUCUAACAUACAGGUCUUUUCUUUUCUUUUUAAGUUUUAUAAGUAGCUACUUUCGGUUGCUCCCUUACUUCAGAGGGUAGCUCUGCAUAUUUGAUUUGGCCAAAUCCUACACCCAAUGCCCUUCUUGACGCAACCCUCCAAGGUAAUUGUGUCUCCUGCCAGGAUCAAACUGGGUAAAUGUGUAAACCACUACACAAGGAGCUCCUAUUUUUAGUUUUAUCAUGUAUCAAACAAUCCUAAUGCAAAGUCAGAAAAUCAACAGUUAUAAUAUUACAGUAUCAAUUCACACAGUAUAAACUGUGACUUAUUAAAUAAGCACUUUAAACUGGAGGCUGAGGUUUUCUAGAAAGCUAACAUAUUUAAAAAGAAAUGUAACCAAUUUUUUAAAAGAAUUGUUUAAAAAAAACUGUCAGGAGGGGUCACAGGCACGUAUAGCAUUAAAUGUGAGUAUACUCAUACUGCAUAGCAUUUUUCCAUACAGGCCGUUUACUUCGUUUACUGCUUCCAUUUGUUUCAGUUCUCAGAGUAGCCAAGUAAGUCAGUACGUUGGGGGACUUUUUGUAAAGUUUCCAUAACCAUGACAGGUCCUCCUACAGCACAAAUACCUUGUAGUUUUUAGAACUGAUGAAUGAUUUGUCAUCAAAUGCAUAAAAAUAAACUUGACAUUUAAUUAUUUUUAACUUAUUUCUGAUUUAUAUGUAUUCAUGUUUGUGAUACUUUGUCCACCUAGUCACAACACAACCAAAGUUUAGGUGUCAAAUGUUUUGAUUCCACAUACUCUAUGUCUAGACUGCUCAGUAUAAAAAACAAAAACGGUGCCCACUGUUAUCCUGUCUCUCCCAGGAUAUUAUCUUUGCAAAGGCAUGUAAAAUAACCAGCCUCAUGUCAGGAGAGACAAAGAGCGAGUCAACGAAGGAAAGAAAAAAAAAAAAAAACUUGUUUGUUAAGGGCACACCAGUGAACCAUUUUGUCUACUAAGCAGAAUAUGUAAAGUGUGACUUAUGUGUUUGAAUAAAGGGUUUUUUUCAUGA